rnacentral:rRNA from 1 species
GACGAACGCUGGCGGCGUGGAUUAGGCAUGCAAGUCGAACGGUAGGAUACCUUCGGGUAUCUGAGAGUGGCGAACGGGUGAGUAACACGUAGGUGAUCUACCCUCAAGAUUGGGACAACCCAGGGAAACUUGGGCUAAUACCGGAUGAAAGCAGCAGUGAUGUUGUUUGAAAGGUGGCGUAAGCUGCCGUUUGGGGAUGAGCCUGCGCUCUAUUAGUUAGUUGGCGGGGUAAAGGCCCACCAAGGCGAUGAUAGAUAGGCGGCCUUAACGGGUGGUCGCCCACACUGGGAUUGAGAUACGGCCCAGACUCCUACGGGAGGCAGCAGUCGAGAAUAGUCUACAAUGGCCGAAAGGCUGAUAGUGCGACGCCGCGUGAACGAAGAAGCCCUUCGGGUGUAAAGUUCUUUUAUAUGUGAGCAGUGCUUUCUAUGUGAACAGCAUGGGGAGAGAGAGUAUUAGCAUAUGAAUAAGCAACGGCUAACUCCGUGCCAGCAC